rnacentral:rRNA from 1 species
CAGAUGCACUUUCCCAAGGAGCAAGCGACAAACAAUACUGCAGAGUAUGAAGGUUUGCUUGCCGGACUCAGGAUCGCGGCAGACCUUGGGAUCAAGAAGCUUAUUGUUAGGGGUGACUCGCGGCUUGUCGUCCACCAAGUUAACAAAGAUUAUCAGAGUCCGUUGAUGGAAGCUUAUAUUGAUGAAGUGAGAAAGCUAGAAGAACACUUUAAUGGCCUACAGUUGGAGCAUGUCCCGAGAGCUCAGAAUGACAUUGCAGACGGCCUGUCAAAGUGCGCCGCACUCAAGUUACCUGUGGAACCAGGAAUUUUUGUGCUCAAGCUGACUCAACCAUCUGUAACACCGUCGACUGGACAGAACAAGAGGAGGAAGUUGGUUUCUGGUGACUACUUUCCGGCAGAGCUCCCCGAAGCCACCGCCAAG